rnacentral:rRNA from 1 species
UACGUAGGAUGCGAGCGUUGUCCGGAAUUAUUGGGCGUAAAGAGAACGUAGGUGGCUUGUUAAGUUCGGUCUUAAAGACCGGGGCUCAACCCCGGGAAUGGACUGAAGACUGGCAGGCUAGAGGAUGUUAGAGGACGGUGGAAUUCCCAGUGUAGCGGUGAAAUGCGUAGAUAUUGGGAGGAACACCAGUGGCGAAAGCGGCCGUCUGGAACAUUCCUGACACUGAGGUUCGAAAGCUCGGGGAGCAAACAGG